UCAAGGACAAAAGAUUUAAAAUAUUCUAUUUAAUAGAAUGAUAUAUCAUUAUUUCUGGUCCAAAUUGCCACAGUUAAUUGUAAAAGUUAAAAGGUUUGGAAUUUGCAGCAGGUUACAUAUAUAUCUGCCAUUUACGUACGGAUUCCUUUAUCCAUUAAUUAUGGGGGAUCCUGUUCUUGGACAAGCCAAACUAUAUAUGACAAAGCCAUUUGUAAUCUAUCAUAUAAGAAAAGUCUACCAUUUCCUCAUCUCUAACCUAUGCCACAUCAACAACCUUUCUCUCAAUUUUCCACAUCAGCUUUCUCAAAAUUAAAUUCUUCCUCCAUUAUAUUAGACAGUUUUUCCUCUUCCACGUUAAUUCCCAUAUUGUGGGUUGUUGUAGUUUAAUCCUCAUAACUGCCCUUAAACCAUCCUCUUCCAAAUUCCAAAACCGUUCAAAAAAUUAUUAGUGUAGCCCCAUUCUUCUUCUUCUUUCACGAUCCAUUUCCCCCAAAUUCCUUUUCACUUUGCCUCAUAAUUAUGUUUCCCAAAUUCCUUUUCGCUUUUCCUUUACAAAUUCUUAGUAUCAAAACACUGUAUUCAAAUAUAAUUACAGAAAUGACAAAACUUACCACAAAUGGAGAGUUCUAUGUGCGAAUCAGAGGGAUCCCGAUUGAAGAUUUGCGUUGGGCUGUAUGUACGUGAUGGUGGAAGACGUCGGUUCUGGGUGGAUCGCGGCCGUAGCCGCUGAUGAUGGUGGUGGUCUACGUGGGUUAUCACGGUUUGAAGCGGCAUGAUGUGGAGGUUACGCCUGGUGUUUCGUCGGAAACGUUGGUAGUUCUCCCGUGUGUUUUCGGAUCUGUUUUGGUUCCUUCUAUACGACUAUUUUUUUAUUAUUUUUUCUUUUUUACUCUAUUGUGUUGUAACUUGCAGGUUGCAUCUCAUAAUCAUUUUUCCAGGUUUUUUGAAUUCGAUUGAUUAAUGAUGAUUGUUGGUAUACAGUUGUUAUUCUGUUUUGAUGCAGGUUUUUGUGUGUAGUUUGGUGAAAGUUAUAUAGCAACGUGAGUGUAGGGUGAUCAUGGUGGUGCAAGGGCGGUCUCUUAAAGGAUGAUGCUGAUUGGGAAAGGUUAGGAGUGAAAGCGGGUCAAAAGCUAAUGAUGAUGGGAAGUACCGAUGAAAUUGUGAAAACUCCAGAGAAAGGAACAGUUUUUGUUGAAGAUCUUCCUGAAGAAGAACAAGUAGCUGCUGUUUGUAGAUCAAAGAAUGUUAAUCUGAUUGCUCCACUCCGAAGUCAACGUUCAAUUCUUCCAAAAGAAGAAUCAACAGAAUUCAGCAGUCAAGUCACAAUUAAUGUUGCAAUUGAAUACAAAUUGAUUUCUAUGGAUUUGUUGGUUGGUUAUCAUUUUUGUGUUCAGAUUCAUUAUUUACCAGGUUUUGGCAUUGUUGUGUGGCGUCCCGUUUCAGAAGUGGUUUGUUGGAAGCUUAGCAGUGCAUCUAUGGUGCAAUAGGUCUGAUUGCACAUGUUUCUUUUAAACUCUAUUGUGUUCAGAAAAACCAAGUACUUCAUAUGAUGCUGAUAGCGGUAUGGCUCCACCACACCUUGAUGAUUGUCUCAAAAUCAAUGUUAAGUCUUCAAAGUUGAUGACAAUGAUGAUGAAUAAAAUUCCUGCAACAGUCCUCCUUCCAUACAUAUUCAUGAUGAUGAAAUGAACUUAAAAAAUCUCAUUUGUUGUGCACCUGCUGUUGUAAGCUUCUUUGGAAUUCUACUUCUUUUUUUUGGAUUCCAGUUAUUUGACUUGAAAUACACUGCACAAUUUAGUUUCUUCAGUGAACUUUCAAAUGCAAGAAAUGUUAUCUCA